rnacentral:tRNA from 1 species
GGGAGCUUAGUUCGGCUGGUUAGAAUGCCUGCCUGUCACGCAGGAGGCCGCGGGUUCGAGUCCCGUCGCUCCCGCCA